rnacentral:rRNA from 1 species
UACGGGGGGGGCAAGCGUUGUUCGGAAUUACUGGGCGUAAAGGGCUCGUAGGUGGCCAACUAAGUCAUACGUGAAAUCCCUCAGCUUAACUGGGGAACUGCGUCUGAUACUGGAUGGCUUGAGUUUGGGAGAGGGAUGCGGAAUUCCAGGUGUAGCGGUGAAAUGCGUAGAUAUCUGGAGGAACACCGGUGGCGAAGGCGGCAUCCUGGACCAAUACUGACACUGAGGAGCGAAAGCCAGGGGAGCAAACGGG